CAUCUGAGGACCCCCAAAGCUGGCCCUGCCUGCCCAUAGUAAGUGUUUAAUACAUAUUUUUUCUUGAGUGUACAUGUUAUUUCUUGAGUACAGGCCUCAUCACUCAAAGCUCAGUUGUCUAUAAAUGGAGAUGGAAUAGAUGUUCAUCUUAUAGAUAAUCUUUAAAAAACUCCUGAGUCGACUCAAUGUAAGCCUCUUCCAACCACAUGAUUUGCUCAUCAGCUGUAGCGUGGAUCAGAUUUGAGUGUCAUGAACAUUGUCAUUUGCAAGAGGGGGAGGUUCUCAGCAGAGAGGAGGAUGGUUCAGAAGCACUUAGAUGCACACAUUUGUUGAGGCAACACUACUUCCAAAGUUGGGGGGCUGUUGAGUUGUCUCAGGAGGGUCAUAGAGUAGUAUAUUAAGGCCAUUAAAGAGGCAGGGGACAGUCUGUCUCCGAUCGGUGGGGGAGAAAUCAAAUGACAGGUGCCUGGAGUCUUAACUCCACCUCUUGUGGGGAGAGGGGAUAGAAAUUAGGUUUUAUUUGGGUGUAACUAAGGGAAGAACAGCUCUGAGGCUUCCAUGAGUGCCAGACACACUCUGUCCAUGGGGCACAGUGGGGGAAGUGUUUGACCUCUCGCUUGGGACGAGCCACUUUUCCACCACCAUGUCAUCACGCGCACCCGACUAUAGCUUGCUAAAGUGCCACUUUUUGGAGAUGCAGGUUUUCUGGCAGCCAGAGAGCUUGAACCUCGCCCUGUCCUUUGGUGCCUCCGUCAUAUGCUUGGUUCUGGAGCGUGGUGCUGAUGGAGACGGUGACUCGGCUGAUGUGAGCCUGCAGGACCCCCACCUGUGUGGCGCCUAUCAGCCUCAGUUCUGGACAAGGCCUUGUUGGAAAGGAUCCUGAGUUGGCCUUUCUGAGAAGGUAAAAUCCUGGAGGGGGAGAUGGAGUGAAUUAUUUGAGACGUGGUGGAGCAGCAACCCCGGGGGCCUCCAUGACUCUGAGGGCGUCGGACCUCAAGUGUUGGAGAAGAGCAAGGAGGCAGUGGCACAUGGGGAAACAGGCCAGUGAGCAGUAGCAGGGCCUUUCCUAGGUGCUGGGCAGAUGCCAACAGCCAUGGCCCCAUAGGCAUCUCAUCCAGGUCACCUGAACCCAGCGGAAGAGAGGGAAGGAAGCUGCAGGAAGCAGCUGCCAGCUUGGCUGCAGGAUUUGGACAGGAUCUGCUCCGGCUGUGGCUGGUGGGCACCUGCCAUGUGCUCAGACGCGGAAGAAGGCACUGAAGGAGGAGCAGGAUCCCGGCCUGGACGUGUCUGAAAGUUUGAAAGAUUGGCCUUUCUAAUGUGCAGGUUUUUUGUUCACCUGACCUUGAUUUUUAUGUAUGGUCCAGGGUAAAAAUCCUUCCCAUACAGGCAAUUGCAUGACUUUCCCACUGUAACAAAUCACCACCAAUUCAAACAGGCUCAGAAUAACAACAAUGGAUUGUCUUGCAAUUUUACAACUUAGAACUGGGUUUUGCUGGCUAAAAUAAAUGUGUCACCAGGGCUACACCUGGAGGCUCUGGGGAGGAGUUUUGGCUGUUCCAUCCCAUCUUCUAAGCCAGUCAAGUUUCUCUUGUGUCCCAUCAAUCUGACACUGAUCUUUCUGCCUCUUUCACUGAUGAGGAGGCUUGUGAUUAUAUUAGGUCCUCUGGGAUGAUCCAACAUGAUCUCGUCUCCAAAUCCUGAAAUUAGACACAUCUCUAAAGUUCACAUAAGGACAUAUCCACAGCUUUAAGAGAUUAGGACCUGGACAUCUUUGGGGAAGCAUUUUUCUUCCUUCUUGAUAAUCAGUACAUUUAGCACAAUGUAGUGAAUCUUUUCUGAACCAGAAGGCAGGCCGCCACUGGUCUGGUGAUAACAAUAGCAAACACUAAGUGAUUAUAAUGUACAAGGACUGUUUGCAUAUUAUCUCAUUUAAUUUGCAAAACAUUUUGGCCAAGCACUACUAUUGUUAUUAUUCCCAUUUUAGAGAUGAGUAAAGUGAGGCCAGAGAGUGAAGUUUCCCUUAGCAAUGCACACAUGCCUAAGUCUCAUAACUUUUUGAGCUUCAGGUUCAUUAUCUGUGAAAUUGCAACAGUGAUAGAGCUCUUUUGUGUUUAACAGGGCUCCUGUGAGGGUGCCUGGAGACAAGUUGUUAGAAAAUAUUUCAGGUAGAAAACAGGGCGGCACAAGUCAUUUCCUGUGCCUCCUUCCUCCCCUCAGCCUAAAUUGGGACUGGGACUCAGGUUUCCUGGCAGCCACACUGGGUUGGUAACUAUAGCAGUUAGAGAUUCCAGUUAUCAGACUGAACAUUUUCCCUUCUCAACCUCCUGCCUGAAGCAGUGAGCAUCAAAGUAAUGGCUGUGCAUUCAACUAUUAAAAAUGCCAUCAAAUCUCAGAUGAUGCUAUUAACAAAAUCCAAAUAGAAUAAUACUUAAUUGACACAGAGUAAAGUUUACAAG